AAACUAGGUGGCUAGAGGGCGAUAGGGGCAGAGGGAAUUCCCGGUGUAGCGGUGAAAUGCGUAGAGAUCGGGAAGAACACCAGUGGCGAAAGCGCUCUGCUGGGUCGCACCUGACCCUGAGGGACGAAAGCUAGGGGAGCGAAAGGGAUUAGAUACCCCUGUAGUCCUAGCCGUAAACGAUGGAUACUAGGUGUCGCGCGUAUCGACCCGUGCGGUGCCGUAGCCAACGCGAUAAGUAUCCCGCCUGGGGAGUACGCACGCAAGUGUGAAACUCAAAGGAAUUGACGGGGGCCCGCACAAGCGGUGGAGUAUGUGGUUUAAUUCGAUGCAACGCGAAGAACCUUACCAGGGCUUGACAUGUCGCGAACCCUGCGGAAACGUGGGGGUGCCUUCGGGAGCGCGAACACAGGUGGUGCAUGGCUGUCGUCAGCUCGUGUCGUGAGAUGUUGGGUUAAGUCCCGCAACGAGCGCAACCCUCGUUCUUAGUUGCCAGCAUUCAGUUGGGCACUCUAGGGAGACUGCCGGUGAUAAACCGGAGGAAGGUGGGGAUGACGUCAAGUCAUCAUGCCCCUUACGUCCUGGGCGACACACGUACUACAAUGGUCGAGACAGAGGGUAGCCAACCCGCGAGGGGGAGCCAAUCUCACAAACUCGGCUUCAGUUCAGAUUGCAGGCUGCAACUCGCCUGCAUGAAGGAGGAAUCGCUAGUAAUCGCAGGUCAGCAUACUGCGGUGAAUACGUUCCCGGGCCUUGUACACACCGCCCGUCACACCAUGGGAGCUGGCCACGCCCGAAGUCGUUACUCUAACCUUAGGGAGGGGGACGCCGAAGGCAGGGCUGGUGACUGGGGUGAAGUCGUAACAAGGUAGCCGUACCGGAAGGUGUGGCUGGAUCACCU
rnacentral:rRNA from 1 species